GAUGAACGCUGGCGGCGUGCCUAAUACAUGCAAGUCGAGCGAACAGAUAAGGAGCUUGCUCCUUUGACGUUAGCGGCGGACGGGUGAGUAACACGUGGGUAACCUACCUAUAAGACUGGGAUAACUUCGGGAAACCGGAGCUAAUACCGGAUAACAUUUGGAACGCAUGGUUCUAAGUAGAAAAAUGGUUUGUCUAUCACUUAUAGAUGGACCGCGCCGUACUUAGCUAGUUGGUAAGGUAACGGCGUUACCAAGGCAACGAUACGUAGCCGACCUCGAGAGGGUGAUCGGCCACACUGGAACUGAGACACGGUCCAGACUCCUACGGGAGGCAGCAGUAGGAAUACUUCGCAAUGGGCGAAAGCCUGACGGAGCAACGCCGCGUGAGUGAUGAAGGGUUUCGGC
rnacentral:rRNA from 1 species